rnacentral:lncRNA from 1 species
UGGCCCCAGGCCCAGAGCUGACUAGAUGAGAAUGUUUUGUCUGCUGGGCUGGAGUGGGAAUGGCUGAAGGAUGCCGUUUGCCCUGGCAGGCCCGGCUGGGCAUGGAGCUGGCUUCCCUGCCCAACCCCCUUCCUUCACUUAACACCAUUAACUAAUCAUUCGCCUCUCUGGCCUGAAAACAAAGCCAGCUAACCACCAAGGACAGUCAGUUCUGAAUUCUUCUUCCGCUGGAGGAGAGUGAAGCCAGGUGGGGGUGGAGGAUUUGUCUCUGCGGUGAAAGGGAAAUGAGGCAAGAAGGCUGCUUUCCUCCAGCCCCAUGGUGGACCUGGGCCCCUCACACAUGAGGGGACCCUCCUGCGCAUAAUGCCCUCUGCGUGUCUCUGGUAUAGGUCUGACCACAGGUGGAGAAACUGAGGCCAGGUGGGGUGGGGGUCCUGGUUGGGCUCCUCAGCCACAGUCUCCUGGAUGGGUGGAGCUUUCAGCUCAUUGUAAGGAGAAGUGGAACCCUGGGGAGUUGGAGGUAAAAAGACAAGGAUGGACCUGUCCCCAGAGGCCAUGAAGGGGCAAGACUGGAACCCAAGUGUCCUCUCUCAGCUCCAGCAAAGGGAACUUAGCGACUUCUGACCCACCCUUCUGGAUCCAGGGGCCUUGACCAGGAUGUGAGGAUAUGAGAAGGGUGGGUCAGAAGUAGCUCGAGGAAGGAAGCUGAUAAAGAGGUGUUUGCAGCUGCUGUGAGGACAUGGGGUGGGAGUCCCAACAAUCUUGGCAGUUACCGAGACUGGGGAACCCCCUGGCCAGGCCAGAUAAUAGGAUCCGGCCUGGGUCUUUGGAGGGGGUGCGGAAGUUGGAGAAUUUUUCCAGAAUGUGGGUGUGAGUAGGAGAAGAUUAUACUGAAGGAGUGAAAACAGGGUGGAAAAGGGUAGGGGGCAGGAAACCGGAUACUGUACUGGGGGGUGGAUGGAAGAUGUGGGGGAAGAGAUUGAAUCGGGGGAAGCAGCCCUGCUCCCGCCGGAUGCUGUCUCACCCAUGUCCUUCGCACCUGACCCAGGGCAGGAGGAAGGAGGCACAGCCGGGAUGGAGGUGCACCCCACACCACCAUGGGAGAGAGGGAGGGUGGCCUUCUGCGGGAUGGGAGGGGCUAUUUUUAAACUUGGAAAAACCGUGAGUUCAUCUCCAUUCUGGAGGCUGCAAAGGCCCCAUUGUACAGGGGUCUAGAGAGGGGGAGCGGGGGGAGGGGGCGACGGGCACAAUGGCGAGGAUUAUGUUGGAGCAGGCAGGGGGGUGGAGGGCGGAGAGCGGGGGAGGGGCUGUCUUCGUCACAGAUGGCCUACUGAACUCUGGGGUCGAGCCAGGCUGGGGCUUGAACUGGGGGGCAGGGCCCACCCUCACAAAGAUCCCCGUUGGGGAACUGGGGUCUCUGACAUCCGGUGGCCCAUCCUGGGGAGGGGGCUGACGGUGGGAUUCCCACAGCCUGGCUUUCCCAGGGACCGCAGGGUCUGUUCCCAGGCUCCCAGCAUUCCGACGACUCCCCUGAGAGCUGCUGGCCUCUUCCCUCAGCCCCUUCCCUGCCAGGGGGUGGGGGGAGAGAAGGAGAAAGAGGAUGUGGAUGCAUCGGGACUCCUCCUGGGGAUGAUGGACUCUUAAGCCAGAGGCGGGGGUUGGGUGGGCAGCAGUGGGUGGUUAGGGUAGGUUGAGCGGGAUCGGAGUCCCCAACCCCGCGGACCCCUCCUCCGACCGACUGGGACUGUCCCUCUCGUACCCCCCGGUCUUAGGAGCCUCCGCACGGGGGCCAGCCCACCUGCCGGACCUCAGGCCUCCGGCACCCAGGGCCUCCACCCAGGGGACCCGGCCGCGGCGGGAAGGCGCCGGCGCUAAGCUCCCCAGGAGCCGGCCUCGAGGUCCCGCCCGGCGGAGGCAGGGGGCGGGGAUCCGGCCGCUCGCCCCAACCCAAACAUUACCAUAAAUGCUCAGGCGGCUGCGGGUGGAUGGGCGCGCGGGGAGCCUGGGGCUCUCCGGAAGCCCCAGAUCCAGUCUCCAGGCCCGACCCAGCGCGAGCCCGCGCAGUGAUUCGGUCUGACCAGCCGUCCCCUUUACAAAGCGGUGCAGCCGGGGAUGGCAGAGCUGGGGUGGGCGCGGGGACAGGGUGGAGAAAACCCAGGCCGCAGGGGGCGUCUCGGGGCUGCCUCCUGGGUAGGCAAUGAGGCUGUGACCUCUGGUUAAAGAAAGAGUGGGGCCCUCUAGCUAGAUGGCAGCGUCGGCGCCGCGGGGAGGCGGCUCUGUCUCCCUGCAGCUCUGCGGGCCCCGCUGCUGUCAGCGGUGACACCCUGGGUCUCGGUUCCCCGGCCCCAGCACCUAAUCCCCUUCCCUCUCCUCUGCCCCCAGCCUGCACCUGGGGAAUGAAGGGUGAUGGGGGCGGAGGGUGGUAGCAGGAUGCUGGGAGUUUACACCUCUCCCCUUCAGGGAAGUUCACAUCCGCUCCCCAGAAUACCACCAUCCAGGGAGAGGAAUGUCCCCAGAGAGCUCUUCAAAUCUGACUUUGAGUCGUCACUGAGGGGAAGGCCGGCUGGUCUACAGGAGGGGGCCUGUGGGAAACCUGGGGGCGCCAUGUUGAGGUCUUCUGGCCCCUCUCCUCCCUGAAGGACGCUCCUGCAGUUCCUCUUCCCUGCCACACGGGGCUGCCAGCAUCCCAGGGGUAGCCCUGGAGAAGGGGAGCCUUGUUCCAUCCCAUCCCGGCGAUGCCUGGGACCCUCACUGCUGCUGCCAGGGCUGAUCUUGGAGCCGGGAGUAGAGAGGGGAGGAAAGAGGCUGGGCGCGGUGGUUUAUGCCUGUAAUCCCAGCACUCUGGGAGGCCGAGGCGGG